UUUUCUUCAGAUGUAUGCCCACAAGUAGGGUCUCUAGUUCCAAUGGUAGUUCUCUCUUUGAGUUUUGGAGACAACUCCUGACUGUUUUCCGUAACGGCUGCACCCAUCGCCAUCUCCAAUGCACAAGGGUUUUCUUUUCUCCACAUCCUCUGACAAAUCCGCAAGAAGGGGUUGCUUUCCAGAGGAGACAGAGCAGUGGCCUGGACAGGACAGAUGGAUGGCCCAAGGGAGACCCUGCUCUUUAGGGCCCAGCUUCCAAAUCUUGGGGAGAAGCCCUUCUGUGAGCGGGGAGGAGGUGCUGGGGCUCCCAGCCUGUUCAACCAGUGGGGUGCUUUUCUGUGGAAUUACUCCUCUCCAAUCUACAGACACUUGAUGUGCCAGGUGCUGACAGCUGGAGUAUGCCUCAUUAAUUUAAUGACAGUUUUUCUGGAAUACAUCUGACACUUAGGCAUUUAAUGCUAACAGCACUUCCUAGAUGUACCCAAACUUCAGAAGUUCUUUUUUUAAAGCACUCGAGCACCUAGGAAAUACUGUAAGUUUGGGAAACACUGGGUUAAACUGAGGUAAGUCUGUCUCUUUUCUGCACGAUUUUCUUAAGACUAUAGGUGUUUACAGUGGAGAUAGGCUGUUUCCUCCUCCUCUAUGCCCUGCUUUAGUGGGCUGAGUGCAUCCCUGGGAAUCUAAGCUACUUAACCCAGGCAUCAUUGCAGGCAGGAUUCUAAUGGCCCCACAUCUGCUAUCUGUGAGCUGCCACUGAUCGUGAGCUAUGGAUCUGGGCAGCCAAGCCAGUCUGCACCUCAGCUCUUCUCUCUGCCGGCACAAGAUUGAGUCCCUUGGUUUCCUUUAGGGCCAAUGAGUGCAAACCAGGUGCCGGGGAGACCCAGCAGUCCCCUGCAGCGAUGGUGGGUGCUGCUUGGGGACCAGGCCUGAAGUCGGGGGCAGGAGGAUGCUCACCUCCCAUGCUCUCUUGUUCCUGGGUUCCCUGCUCCCCAGUGCUUCUCAGAGCUGCUGUCAGAGAAGGGUUUUCUCACCGAGGUUUUUUCCAGACCUCUGAGUCUGGAAGAAGACCUCUGAGCUCCCCGAGGUCUUCUUUCUGUUUACUCCUUGUUGAUCCUAAAAAUACUCAUGGGUGAAGUGAUGGCUGCAGGCGAUGGGCAUGAGCUGAGCUGUUUUCCUGAUGCCACGCUGCCAUCAUAGGGUAUGUGGGACCUGAGGAGGGAGGAAUGAUUAGGGACCUUAUAGCUGUUUAUUCAUUCAUUCAACAAGUAUUUCCUGAGUGUCUUCUGUGUGCCAGGAUGCUCCUAGGUUUAGAGAUUCAGCAGGGAACCAAAUAGAAGGAACAUCUCGUAUUUUAGUGGUGAGACGCCAACAAUCAGGAAAUUAACGUAAGGCAUAGAGUACAUUCGACCUUGCAAGUGUCACGUAGGAAAAGCAGUGGGGAAGCGAGUGUGGGAGAACGUGAGGGGAGGGAGCACUCACAGGGGUGGAGGGAGGACCUGCACUGUGUCAGGGAGAGCCUUGCAGGUGGAGGGACUUGCCCCAAAGCCAAGGGUCCUCAGCUUCAAGACCCGCUUUCUGCAUGGGCUGUUCCUGCGGCUCACAGGGUCCAUAUGAUUUCUCUGUAGUCAGGACUAUUUCCAUCCUGAAUUCCCCUCUGUCACUUUGCCCCGUGGUGAGUAGCCCUGGAGGGCUGUGGACAAUUUUGGGAUCCAGCUAAGGUUGAGUUGGGAUGCUUUGGUUGGGUUUAGUAACCACGUGCGUGUGGUUUGCUGCCACUCUGUUGAGUUGCACAGCCCUGAUGGGAAGGUGUCCAUCAUUUUCCAGGUCAUUGCCAGCGUGUCAAGACAUGAAGAUUCCAGGCCAGAGGGACCAGCUCACCUCGGCUAUAUCCCAGGGUGCCCCUAUCUGGACACCUGCAGGAAGGAGGAAAAACCAGUCACUCUGCUCCAGCGGCUGCUCCUUACGUUUUCCUCAGCACUCCCGGCAGCUCGGCCUGGGUGUGUUUGUGCUGGUGGUUCCUUCUACACAGAUGCUGCUCCCGGCUUUCCUGCAGGACUCAUCCCUCAGCUCCUUCCUGGAUGCCACUUUCUCUGCCUCAAAGCAAACUUCAAGGGAGUGCUCGUGAUCCUCUUUUCUGGAAGAAAAGAUGAGAACCCAGGAAGCCUACGGAAUAUUCAUAAGGCUGGGCAGCCGGCAGCUGGCGAGCAGCUGAGCAGAGUUUGAAUUCAGAGCUGCGGCGGGCUUCCUGUCACCAUCUCCACUCUCUGGACCCUCCAGGCUGCUGGAUUUCCUCCUGAGACAUCACCUGGCCUCAUCGACAGCAUAAAAGGUUUGCCUUUGCCCGGCAGACUCAACGCAGAAGCUCUCCAUGGCUGAGCGACUGCACACAGCAGAGAACUGAGCAGCCGAGUUGGAGGACGUCGCAGGGGGUGGCUGCAGAGACCCUGGACAUGCACCUUGCUGCCUCUUCCCAACACAAGGCACGCCAUUGACCCGGCAUGUGCCUGCCCAGCCUCUGCUCUGGCCAGCUGUGCCACCCAUGGGGCCUCCAGCUGUGAGGACUAACAGCCCAUGUGCCUGGCAGCCGGCCCUCCGACAAGCUCACAGGUGGGACUGAGACACCAUCCCUCUCUGCUCUCUUCCCUCUGCAUCUGAAGUGAAUGAAUACAUUCAUGUUUCAGGAGGAGAAGAUCAUAACUGUCAGGACUGUCACAGCCAGGCAGCAGUCACGUGGGGACUCUGUUCCUUUGAGCUUCAGUGUGGCUUUCUUGGGUUUGCAGAUGACAUUCAAGUGGGAAGGAAGAGGAUGACACUUUCCCCCUGAGAAUGACUUCCUGGUCCAGGUGUGGUCCUGGAGGCAGUAAUUAGUCGCUUUGAUCUUUGUCCCUAUAGUUCCUGUCUUUGGGGUGGGGUUCUUGGUCCCUCAUGGCCAGGAUGCUGCCCCCUCUUCUGCAGUGCUUCCUCAACCCUGGAUUCCCUUUAAAACUCUGCUUCCCAGGGCUUCCUCUCUGGUUUCACAGGGCGACGAUUUCACCUUUUGAGCUACCAGCAGGGUCCCAAUCAAGGCAAAGGAGAUGUGAAGAAGCGAGUGUGGCUUCCCUGAGGUUUUCACAGCUUCUCAAAGCUGCUGUUGAUCAAUAAUAAAUGGAAUCCCAAGCAGACAGCUCCCAAGUCAUGCUGGAGCAGGCAGCAGCUCAGGAGGGGCAUUCGGGGCGAUGCCCAGGCUCAGGUCACACAGGGUGGCCCCAAGCAUGGACAGUUCCUUCCAGGCCAUGCCCUGAGAGUCUGGCUUGCCUUAACCUCUGCCUGCCCUUUGCUGGAGCCUCAUGCUGGGCUGAGGAGUGCCCAAGGUGUGCAUCAGGGUGAUAGCCCUGACUGCCAACAUUCAGGGCCACACCUGGGAGCCCUGUUGUUGGGAGAAUUUACACCAUGGGAACUGGCAAACAUGGUGAACCAGCCACUUCUCACAACUGUUCUUCCCCCAAGCAUGGGUUACCUGGUUAUUAAGUAUAUUGUCCUUCCUCAGCCCAGCUAAUUCUAACAUCUUCUCUUAAUUCUAAUAUCAGUGCCCACCUUGCUAUAGUACAGGGGCUUUUAGAAAGCGGGGAGAAAAGCAGUGAGUGAGCAUCUCUUCUUUUCAUGGUGGGAAGGCAGCUGUGUGGACCAUGAGAGGGUGCCUCCUGCAGCACAUGGGGGGCACCUGCUCCAGCAGACUCCCAGCCUGGCAGCGGGCACUGGCCAGUCCUGGGUGUGUUUGGUGGAAGCCUCUCCAUUUUCAGUGCCAGGAGGGAGUCUCCUUGUUGUGACAUCUGUAAAAAGGAAGACCCUCUAGGAGGAGACAGUGCCCCCACAAAAAGGGCCAGUGUGGCCUCAGUAGGGCCCUCCUGGAAGAGGGUGCUUGUGGUUCUGGCUUUUUCUCCUCCGCUUCUGUGAUGGGGCCUGUAGACCCAGCUGCUCAGACUGUGGGGCUGUAGGCAGGCUGCUCCUGGUCCCAUAAGAGGGUGAAAGGUCUCACCUGAAAUGCUGCUCUGCUUCCCUGUGUGGAUGACACCUUCUGGGAGGUGUUUAAUUUUCCAAGGCCCUUUGAAGGACCCACAGAUCCUUCAAUUCAGUUCAAAACUAGGCCCAAAGGUAUGGGGUCAAGACAGACUGGGCUUGGGAAGUACCUAGAGUCAGGGUGGUAACUGUCCUUGCACCAGUGUGGGCUCAUUCUAAGAGGGGAGGAGGCUGGACGUGGGGAAUUCUACACACACUUCAAUAGAAAAUAUCCAGAGGGGACAUAGGGACAGAUAGUCCAGUAAUGGAGGUUCUUCUUCCAGUAUGGGAGCUACGCCCUUCAUCUGGCAUUCAUUACUGGAGCCAAAUGAACAAGGGAGACCCUACUCAGUCCUAUAAAGAAAGGUCUUGUGCAGCCAGACAAAACCUGGGAGGUCCAGAGCUAAAAGUGUGUAACUGUGGACCACUUGAGGGUCCAUUCUGUUCUCCAGAGUUCACCUGGAGUCCAUCAUAUCUAGAAACUCAAGAAAGAAGAAAAUUUAACAGGCACACAAAGAUGUAAUGUGAGUAGAACUUUGAGUAAAAAAUAAAGUUCUCUAUGAAAGGAUGAGAGCUGCAUUUAUGGCUAAAGCAUUGUGUAUCAAGGAUGUCAAUUCCACAGGAAUGGAGCGUGCCCACUGCCAUCCCUCUAUCACCACCUCCUCCCCAUCCCCAUGUUGUGUUUCAAGCAUGCCGAUUUCAUAGGAGUAGAGCCUGCCCACUGUCAUCCCUCCAUCACCGCCCCCUCCUCAGCCCCGCAUUGUAUAUCCAGGAUGUAAAUUUCACAGGAGUGGAGCCUGCCCACUGCCAUCCCUCCAUCACCGCCUCAUCCUCAGCCCCGCAUUGUAUAUCCAGGAUGUAAAUUUCAUAGGAGUGGAGGCUGCCCACUGUCAUCCCUCCAUCACCGCCCCCUCCUCAGCCCUGCAUUGUAUAUACAGGAUGUAAAUUUCAUAGGAGUGGAGCCUGCCCACUGUCAUCCCUCCAUCACCACUCCCUCCUCAACCCUGCAUUGUAUAUCCAGAAUGUCAAUUCCAUAGGAGUGGAGCCUGCCCACUGCCAUCCCUCCAUCACUGCCCCCUCCCCAGCCCCGCAUUGUGAAUCAAGGAUGUGAAUGCCAUAGGAGUGGAGCCUGCCCACUGCCAUCCCUCCAUCACUACCCCCUCCCCAGCCCCGUGCUACACUGCAGCUUCACUCGUGCUGGGCAUUCCUACAUAUUUGCUGAGUGAACAAAUGAGUUGAUUAUGCAAUAGAUUCUUGCAUUGCUGCAUAAUAAAUUAUGAUAGAGAAAAUUA